ACGUUGGCGGCGUGCUUAACACAUGCAAGUCAAGGGGAAAGGUUGUCUUCGGACGGCCGAGUAUACUGGCGAACGGGUGAGUAACGCGUAGGUAACUUGCCUAUCAGUCUGGGAUAACACUGCUAACGCGGUGCUAAUACCGGGUAUACUGCAUAGAUCGCAUGUUUUUUGCAGGAAAGCGGGCCUCUGGAACAAGCUCGUGCUGAUAGAUAGACCUGCGUUCCAUUAGUUAGUCGGUAGGGUAACGGCCUACCAAGGCAGCGAUGGGUAGCCGGCCUGAGAGGGUGACCGGCCACACUGGGACUGAGAUACGGCCCAGACUCCUACGGGAGGCAGCAGUGAGGAAUAUUGCGCAAUGGACGAAAGUCUGACGCAGCAACGCCGCGUGAGGGAUGAAGCUUUUCGGAGUGUAAACCUCUGUUAGGAGGGAAGAACGUCUAUUAUUCGAACAGGGUGAUAGAGUGACGGUACCUCCAGAGAAAGCCCCGGCUAACUCCGUGCCAGCAGCCGCGGUAAUACGGGGGGGGCGAACGUUGUCCGGAAUUAUUGGGCGUAAAGGGCGCGUAGGCGGGAAGGUCAGUCAGAGGUGAAAGCUUGUGGCUUAACUGCAAGUUUGCCUUUGAUACUGCCAUUCUUGAGUUCGGAAGAGGGAAGUGGAAUUCCUGGUGUAGCGGUGAAAUGCGUAGAUAUCAGGAAGAACACCGGUGGCGAAGGCGGCUUCCUGGUCCGAUACUGACGCUGAUGCGCGAAAGCGUGGGGAGCAAACAGGAUUAGAUACCCUGGUAGUCCACGCUGUAAACGAUGGGUACUAGGUGUUGGGUUUAAUUACUCAGCGCCGGAGCUAACGCAUUAAGUACCCCGCCUGGGGAGUACGAUCGCAAGAUUGAAACUCAAAGGAAUUGACGGGGGCCCGCACAAGCGGUGGAGCAUGUGGUUUAAUUCGAUGCAACGCGAAGAACCUUACCUGGGCUUGAACUGUAGGUGAC
rnacentral:rRNA from 1 species